CAAUAUGUCAGUUUCAUGAUUACCAAUGUAAAUAAUUUGUUAAUAUGUUAAUUUGUUAAUAUGUAAAAUGUUAAUAAUUGCAUACAUUCGGUUCGCUUAUAUGUUCCCAAGCAUUAAAAGGUACAUAUAUGUACCUUUUCCUUUAAAGGUUAAGGUACAAUAUCAAGAGCCAGCCCUGAUUGGCUGCUUGAUUUUCAAAUUAAAAGAACGUCCAGUUGGCGGUCUUUCUUUCGGCGGAGACGAAGUCAUAGCACGUAACAGGGCAGUAAAAUCAGCAGUGUAAUAUUAGCAGUGUAAAAAGUUAUUAAUUCCCAAAGAUUUCAAUUAACAAUCCACAGUGUUAAACAGUACUCGUGUUCAGUGUUGUUAUAUGGUGUAAUUUCACUUUUACACUAAAAGUGCGAAAUAAAAGACCCGCCGAAUUGUCUGGACUCCACCCUUCAGUGACUGCUGCCUCGCGAAGCGACAACGCCAUCUUUUCUUCGAGCGACCGAGACGUUGGUCGUCCUCUCGCCUCUGUUCCCUCCUCGGCCUGGGCUUACUGCGAAUCUGGCGCUGAAGACUGAAGCUGCUAACGUUAUAUUCGAAGCCUCAGAAGACCUUCAAGGAUCCAGUUGACCUCUGAAUCAGCUGUUAAGAAAAUGGGACAGUUAUAUUGCUUCAAUUGGUCUCCUACUUCAUUUGAUUCCACCAUCAUUACAAGGCUGCAAGGGAUCUGGAAAAAUGUCAUCCUGUCAAGCUGAAAAACAUCUUCAAAAAGGCACUAACAAGAACAGCUUGAUUGCAGAGAAGAGACCACACAGCCAUACACGCUCACUGAUGGGACGAUGAGGAACAUCAUUCAUGGAUGCUACACAACUCAAAUCUACACGUCAUAUUUGUUCAUGUCUAGGUAAAUUUGAUGAUUUUGUGUUUUUAUUAACUACUUUGUUUCUGUGCAACACUUAAUGAAUGUGACUGACUAAUUAACCUCUACACAUCUGGUAUAUGCUUUAAAGUUGCCACUUUGCCCAUUUGUUCAAUAAAUGUUGAAAUGUA